AGCAGCCGCGGUAAUUCCAGCUCCAAUAGCGUAUAUUAAAGUUGUUGCAGUUAAAAAGCUCGUAGUUGAAUUUCGGGGUUAGUAGGUUGGUCAUGCCUCUGGUAUGUACUGGUCUCACUGAUUCCUCCUUCCUGAUGAACUUUAAUGCCAUUAAUUUGGUGUUUUGGGGAAUUUGGACUGUUACUUUGAAAAAAUUAGAGUGUUUAAAGCAAGCUAACGCUUGAAUACAUUAGCAUGGAAUAAUGAAAUAGGACGUUCGAUCCUAUUUUGUUGGUUUCUAGGAUUGACGUAAUGAUUAAUAGGGAUAGUUGGGGGCAUUAGUAUUCAAUUGUCAGAGGUGAAAUUCUUGGAUUUAUUGAAGACUAACUACUGCGAAAGCAUUUGCCAAGGAUGUUUUCAUUAAUCAAGAACGAAAGUUAGGGGAUCGAAGACGAUCAGAUACCGUCG
rnacentral:rRNA from 1 species